UUUGCUGCGGAUUAUAGUUAGUGCCGCAACCGGUGCUAACACUGUAAGUGUAGGGAUGGACGGAGGCAAGUGUAGGGUUGGAUGGGGUUAUCAUGUAUUAAUCAUAUGAGACUGUUUUGUUGUGGGCCAACUGUGUUAAUAUAGGCAAGGCCCAAUAUAUCUCGACUUUGUUAUAGGGUUACGGCCCAGAUUGAUACUAAUAUGGGCUAGGCCUAGUAUACUCUGAUACUGUAAGGGGCUAUGGCCUAGAUUAAUAUUGUUAUGGA
rnacentral:lncRNA from 1 species